AUGGUUUCAUGUUUCCACUUUUCUUCGUAUCCCACUGUCCCACUGCAUCCCAAGUUGCUACUUGUUUGAUAGGCUCAUUUUUUUUUCCUUUUUUUUUUUUUUUUCCUUUUAUGAAUCUGGUGGUGUCAUUUUCAUUUUUACGCUGGAAGCCUGUUUCACUGCGUUUCUGGCAAACCCCAUUGGUUAAACUUGUUUUACCACAUCAUGAUCUUUUUUAUAGCUCACAUCUGCCAGGAAAAGUUUGUCAUUCAUCAUCUUCCUUUCUGCUGUGUUCAUUUUCAGCUGUGCAUGAAAUGUGCUUGUAUUUCCAAAGCAAUGCAAAGCUUUCUGCUCCGGGGCCAGGGUGGAAGGAAUAGGCAGUGGGCAGUCUCUGCGCCAUGGCAUGUAAGUUGUGCUCAGAAGUGGGGAAGAAGAGAAAAAAAUGAUCCUGAGCAUAAACAAAGUAGGCUGUGGGACUCGGACUCCCCUUCCCAGCGGCAUCCCUUCAAGAGACUACUGCCCCAGGCAACUCCAGCUUUGCCUGUGUCUACAGCUGGCUCGUUCCCGGUGGAGAGGAGCUUUCCCCAGAAGCAGUCCCAUGGUGUAUGCAACAUUUCAGGGCUGCAUGCUUCCUCCAUUUUCGUAUUACUCAUCCUGUUACGGGUGAGAGUCGUGUUGAUGCCAGCAACCGUGUUUAAACAUGGGACAGCACUGAAGUACAGCUGUGUUUUGGUCACUGGGUUUCUAUACCUACCUUGCACAGAGUGCCCAUGCCCUGGAAAGCAGCAGCUCCUGAGGCACUCGUGGGGGCAGGCUGAUGUGCCCCAGCAGCCGUUUCUGCUCAGCAGGACGCCUCUUUCAAGUGUCCCUUGCAGGGCAGGCUGGCACCCCCAGCUCUCCUCCUUCCAGGGUCUCCUGCUCAGCCACGACCAGCCCAGACAUUGUGAACACCAUGGGACCAGCUCCCUCUGA
rnacentral:lncRNA from 1 species